GUUGAACACCCGGUUAGUUUCAACAGAUAUGGAAUUUCAUGGACAGCAUCCUCCUUAAAAAACUGAGAUAUGAUGAAAAAUAACUGCUAAAAUACUUUCUAUGCAUUCAGCAAGCAGACAGCCCAGGCCCACCACUGAACCACUUUAGGGAAAGGGCAGCACAAGCCAAGAUAAAGAUAGAAAAACAUCACAAAGUUGAUGUGAAAUGUCAAAAAGCUGCCAUUAGACCAAAACCUCAAGAUCUAUUUGUUUAACCAAAGAGUCCAAAUUUCAGUUCACGAUGUCAAAUAAAAGAUUUAGUGAGCAGUCACCAAUUAACAUUAUUCACAUAAUAAAUAGCAUCCACUGGCCACUUUGCAGCGAGUGUAAAGCAAUCUUUAUUUUUCUAUUUUCCCCCUUCCAACACUGCAUUUGUGGGUCCACAUGUUGAAGAACUAAUAAAACAAUUCCUUCACAUGUCCCAUACAUCAAGCAUGAAGACAAAAGGGAACUACAAACUUUCUCACAUUCUAAACUCAAAAAGAAAAUGUUAUAUGAUUUCAUGAAUUCAUGACAGUCAAUAAGUUAUUCAGAGGAAAAACCAGGAUUCAAAUUAACACUAUAUGCAAUUCUACUUUAACUAAAAUGAAAGAGGACAGAGAAAGGGAGAGGAAAAGAGAAAGAGACAAUUGUACCAACCAACACAAAAGUUUGUCUACCUAAAUAUAGGCUCAUUUUAGCUCGGAUCUUGCUUUAAGAGAAUGACACCAGACACAGAGUCAACCAAUCAAUUGAUGACUAAAUGAAGUAAAACUCAACUAAAAGAAGUAUUAACAAGAGAAUCCAGUUCAGUAAGUAUUUGAAAAUACAACUGGGACUACAAAACACUUCAAGUGUUAAAAGUGGCCAGUAACUAGUCCAACAAGAACAUACAUGUUUCCUGGAUUUAAUCAACUACCAUGAUGUGACAAGAAAUCCCUCUUUGGCAUAACCAUCCUCAACAGAAAUGUCAUAAAUAUCACAUGAUUCAAUUUGAAGACUAAAUCCUCAUGUUUUCUACCAAAUUUGGCAAUGCCAAAGCUUUAUCUCAGAGUCCCACUUUCAUCUCAGUUCUCACCAUUUCUAAAACAAUAUCUAUGGACGUCAACCCUAGAUAUUUUAUCCUACAAUUACCACAAGAAGGCCUUAGAAGGAACUGGAGUAAAAUUCCCACAAUAACCUGCCGGAUACUACAAAGCUUUGUGAUGUUGCUAACGUAGCUAUUGCCAAAAUAAUUAAAAGUUUCAAGGGGAUGAACCAUAGUGGUGCAAAGAACUCUCUAGACAUAUGAAGAAGUGCAAAGAAGUAAAACUCACUCUAAAAUAAAAUGCUCAACCACAUUUUACUGUCCACAAUGUGGAAAUGGUUAUCAUUCCUGGAAAAAAUGCUAAAUCUAUUUUCCAAAAGAUGCAUUUGUAUUAAUUUUGUCUUAUCUGGUUCAAACUAUAGAUUCUAUUGGUGGUUGGAAGAUUCAAACUCAAAAUUGAGCUCUACCGUCAAUGAUAUAUAUGAAAAAAAUCCUUACCAAGCCACAAAACGCACCAACUUAUAAUCUUAGAAGCACCUCCAGCGUCCAAGUUCACUUAAAACUUAAAAGCACAUUACACUGCAAAGCUGUUUAACUUCUAAGAAGCUCGAUUAAUGAGCAAUUCCAUUGCCCCAGCAAUAGUUCUUACUCAAAACAGCUAGCAAAUACACUCGCUCGAAGUUCAACAGUAUAAUCCAUGUA
rnacentral:misc_RNA from 1 species